rnacentral:sRNA from 1 species
UAUUCUGCCCCAUGGGGAAGGAUGAGAAGCUUCGAAUAAGGUUCGACUCGAGCGAAGCGAGAGAACGUUGCCGCAGGCAACGGCCCGAAGGGCGAGGCGCUUUAGCGCCGAGUAAUCC